rnacentral:rRNA from 1 species
UACGUAGGGGGCAAGCGUUGUCCGGAAUCAUUGGGCGUAAAGCGCGCGUAGGCGGCCAGAUAAGUCCGGUGUGAAAGUCACAGGCUCAACCUGUGAAUGCCGCUGGAAACUGUCUGGCUUGAGUCCGGAAGGGGCGAGUGGAAUUCCUGGUGUAGCGGUGAAAUGCGCAGAUAUCAGGAAGAACACCAAUGGCGAAAGCAGCUCUCUGGGACGGUACUGACGCUGAGACGCGAAAGCGUGGGGAGCGAACAGG